GUUGGUGAGGUAACGGCUCACCAAGGCGACGAUCGAUAGGUGGUCUGAGAGGAUGAUCACCCAGACUGGGACUGAGACACGGCCCAGACAACUACGGUUGGCAGCAGUCGGGAAUUUUGCUCAAUGGGGGAAACCCUGAAGCAGCAACGCCGCGUGAGGGAUGAAGGCCUUCGGGUUGUAAACCUCUUUUCUCAGGGACGAUAAUGACGGUACCUGAGGAAUAAGCCACGGCUAACUACGUGCCAGCAGCCGCGGUAAUACGUAGGUGGCAAGCGUUGUCCGGAUUUACUGGGCGUAAAGAGCGCGCAGGCGGCCAGGUCAGUCGAAUGUGAAAGCCCCCGGCUCAACUGGGGAGGGUCGUUCGAUACUGCUUGGCUCGAAGAUAGGAGAGGGAAGUGGAAUUUCAGGUGUAGUGGUGAAAUGCGUAGAUAUCUGAAGGAACACCAGUGGCGAAGGCGACUUUCUGGCCUAUUCUUGACGCUGAGGCGCGAAAGCUAGGGGAGCGAACGGGAUUAGAUACCCCGGUAGUCCUAGCCGUAAACGAAACACUAGAUGUUGGUGGUAUCAACCCCGCCAGUGUCGCAGCUAACGCAUUAAGUGUUCCGCCUGGGGAGUACGGCAGCAAGGCUAAAACUCAAAGGAAUUGACGGGGGCCCGCACAAGCAGCGGAGCGUGGGGUUUAAUUCGACGCAACGCGAAGAACCUUACCAGGACUUGACAUGACCAGGAAUCCGGCGGAAACGUCGGCGCCUCGCAAGAGGCCUGCCACAGGUGUUGCAUGGCUGUCGUCAGCUCGUGUCGUGAGAUGUUGGGUUAAGUCCCGCAACGAGCGCAACCCCUACUGUGUGUUGUAUCACUCACACGGGACUGCCGAGAGAAACUCGGAGGAAGGUGGGGAUGACGUCAAGUCAGCAUGGCCCUUACGUCCUGGGCUACACCCACGCUACAAUGGCCGGUACAACGGGCUGCGAAACCGCGAGGUGGAGCUAAUCCCUUAAAGCCGGUCUCAGUUCGGAUCGCAGGCUGCAACUCGCCUGCGUGAAGCCGGAGUUGCUAGUAACCGUGGGUCAGCAUACCGCGGUGAAUAUGUUCCCGGGCCUUGUACACACCGCCCGUCACGUUAUGGAAGCCGAUAACACCCGAAGCCAGUGAGCCAACCGCAAGGGGGCAGCUGUCGAAGGUGGGAUUGGUGACUGGGACGAAGUCGUAACAAGGUAGCCGUGCCGGAAGGUGCGGCUG
rnacentral:rRNA from 1 species